UACGUAGGGUGCGAGCGUUGUCCGGAAUUAUUGGGCGUAAAGAGCUCGUAGGCGGCCUGUUGCGUCUGCUGUGAAAGCCCGGGGCUCAACUCCGGGUCUGCAGUGGAUACGGGCAGGCUAGAGUCCGGCAGGGGAGACUGGAAUUCCUGGUGUAGCGGUGAAAUGCGCAGAUAUCAGGAGGAACACCGGUGGCGAAGGCGGGUCUCUGGGCCGGUACUGACGCUGAGGAGCGAAAGCGUGGGGAGCGAACAGG
rnacentral:rRNA from 1 species